rnacentral:ribozyme from 13 species
AAGGUAAGAGUUUGUGCACAGUUAAUUAGAGCAAUUAAAAUGCAAAAAACAAAGACGAAAAUUUAUUUUCCCUCUCUCCUUGCUUUUAAUUUGUGCGGCACCACGCCACCUUAAAAAACUAAAAGAGCAAAUCAAAACAAAAAACAGCAUUCAUUUUCGUGUAAUCAUUUCUU